CUACGGGUUGCUGCAGUGAGGAAUAUUGCACAAUGGGGGGAACCCUGAUGCAGCAACGCCGCGUGGAGGAUGACGCAUUUCGGUGUGUAAACUCCUUUUAUAUGUCAAGAAAAUGACGGUAGCAUAUGAAUAAGCGCCGGCUAACUCCGUGCUAGCAGCCGCGGUAAUACGGAGGGCGCAAGCGUUACUCGGAAUCACUGGGCGUAAAGGACGCGUAGGCGGGUUGAAAAGUCAGGUGUGAAAGCCUACAGCUUAACUGUAGAACUGCACUUGAAACUCUCAAUCUAGAGUAUGGGAGGGGCAGAUGGAAUUAGUGGUGUAGGGGUAAAAUCCGUAGAUAUCACUAGGAAUACCUAAAGCGAAGGCGAUCUGCUGGGACAUUACUGACGCUAAGGCGUGAAAGCGUGGGGAGCAAACAGGAUUAGAUACCCCCGUAGUC
rnacentral:rRNA from 1 species